AGCGAACGCUGGCGGCAGGCCUAACACAUGCAAGUCGAACGAAGUCUUCGGACUUAGUGGCGGACGGGUGAGUAACACGUGGGAACGUACCUUUUGGUUCGGAACAACUCAGGGAAACUUGAGCUAAUACCGGAUGAGCCCUUAGGGGGAAAGAUUUAUCGCCGAAAGAGCGGCCCGCGUUAGAUUAGCUAGUUGGUGAGGUAAAGGCUCACCAAGGCUACGAUCUAUAGCUGGUCUGAGAGGAUGAUCAGCCACGCUGGGACUGAGAGACGGCCCAGACUCCUACCGGAGGCAGCAGUGGGGAAUCUUGCGCAGUGGGCGUAAGCCUGACGCAGCCAUGCCGCGUGAAUGAUGAACGUCUUAGGAUUGUAAAAUUCUUUUACCAGGGACGAUAAUGACGGUACCUGGAGAAAAAGCCCCGGCUAACUUCGUGCCAGCCGCCGCCGUAACAC
rnacentral:rRNA from 1 species